rnacentral:rRNA from 1 species
UACAGAGGGUGCGAGCGUUAAUCGGAAUUACUGGGCGUAAAGCGUGCGUAGCCGGUCAAGUAAGUCGGAUGUGAAAGCCCCGGGCUCAACCUGGGAAUUGCAUUCGAGACUGCGUGGCUAGGGUGCGGAAGAGGGAAGCGGAAUUUCCGGUGUAGCGGUGAAAUGCGCAGAUAUCAGGAAGAACACCAGUGGCGAAGGCGGCUCUCUGGCCUGUAACUGACGCUGAGGCGCGAAAGCGUGGGGAGCAAACAGG